CAGCAGCCGCGGUAAUGCGUAGGUGGCAAGCGUUGUCCGGAAUUAUUGGGCGUAAAGGGCUCGCAGGCGGUUUCUUAAGUCUGAUGUGAAGGCCCCCGGCUCAACCGGGGAGGGUCAUUGGAAACUGGGAAACUUGAGUGCAGAAGAGGAGAGUGGAAUUCCACGUGUAGCGGUGAAAUGCGUAGAGAUGUGGAGGAACACCAGUGGCGAAGGCGACUCUCUGGUCUGUAACUGACGCUGAGGAGCGAAAGCGUGGAGAGCGAACAGGAUUAGAUACCCCAGUAGUCCCUGUCUCUUAUAU
rnacentral:rRNA from 1 species